rnacentral:rRNA from 1 species
GACGAAUGCUGGCGGCGUGCUUAACACAUGCAAGUCGAACGGAAAGGCCCUGCUUGCAGGGUACUCGAGUGGCGAACGGGUGAGUAACACGUGGGUGAUCUGCCCUGCACUUCGGGAUAAGCCUGGGAAACUGGGUCUAAUACCGGAUAGGAGCCAUUUUUAGUGUGAUGGUUGGAAAGUUUUUUCGGUGUAGGAUGAGCUCGCGGCCCAUCAGCUUGUUGGUGGGGUAAUGGCCUACCAAGGCGGCGACGGGUAGCCGGCCUGAGAGGGUGGACGGCCACAUUGGGACUGAGAUACGGCCCAGACUCCUACGGGAGGCAGCAGUGGGGAAUAUUGCACAAUGGGCGCAAGCCUGAUGCAGCGACGCCGCGUGGGGGAUGACGGCCUUCGGGUUGUAAACUCCUUUCGCUAGGGACGAAGCUUUUGUGACGGUACCUAGAUAAGAAGCACCGGCUAACUACGUG